GGAUGUGAGGGUGAUAUGACUGCAGUAUCUGGCAUCUCAUUGAUCCCCGGGGUUGAUUCGGCUGCUCUACACAACCGGCGGGUGUUGCCCUUCCUCCCACACCCCUCCAUGUCCAUCUUUCCUGAAGCCGAUUGCUCAGUUGAAGAAGACAGCCUUCCCUGCUGGGGGAGGACCAUUCUGUCACCAGUAAAGAGAAGGUGUGCUCUCCUGCUGGAACCUCCAAAGAGACCCUCAAGAAAAAUGCACUGAACCAUGCUAACAUAAGCGAUGGGCAGCUGGGUCAUGCUAGUUCCCGUCGC
rnacentral:snRNA from 1 species